rnacentral:rRNA from 1 species
AGUGAACGCUGGCGGUAGGCCUAACACAUGCAAGUCGAACGGCAGCACAGUAAGAGCUUGCUCUUACGGGUGGCGAGUGGCGGACGGGUGAGGAAUACAUCGGAAUCUACUUUUUCGUGGGGGAUAACGUAGGGAAACUUACGCUAAUACCGCAUACGACCUACGGGUGAAAGCAGGGGAUCUUCGGACCUUGCGCGAUUGAAUGAGCCGAUGUCGGAUUAGCUAGUUGGCGGGGUAAAGGCCCACCAAGGCGACGAUCCGUAGCUGGUCUGAGAGGAUGAUCAGCCACACUGGAAGUGAGACACGGUCCAGACUCCUACGGGAGGCAGCAGUGGGGAAUAUUGGACAAUGGGCGCAAGCCUGAUCCAGCCAGACCGCGUGGGUGAAGAAGGCCUUCGGGUUGUAAAGCCGUUUUGUUGGGAAAGAAAAGCAGCAGGUUAAUACCCCGCUGUUCUGACGGUACCCAAAGAAUAAGCACCGGCUAACUUCGUG